UGUCGGCUCUUGGUUUCUCUGACUAAACUGAAAAAACCUUUGUACUUAUUCUCUCUCAGUUUCACAUAAACUGACACCAUAAUUCUUUACUUCAACUGAAAAAAUUAAGAAUUUAUUUCCUCCAAAGUCCAAACACUGUCACAGAAACUGACUUGUUAACCAUUGUUAGUUACAUUCUGUUUCUUGCCACUUUAUAAGUCAUCAUCACCCUCCACUGGUUUUCAUUAACAAACCUUCUUCAAAGUCCCACCACUUGGUUUUCAUAACCCAUUCUCCAUCUCAGAAUGGAGAAUGCGAGAAUAAGCCAGUGGUUGAUCCUUCUGGUGUGUGCGCUGCUGUUGCUGAUAUCAGAAGCUUCUUAUGUGCCAAUCACUAUUGUUCAGAACGCGGUAGCAAAAGGAGCUGUUUGUUUGGAUGGGAGUCCACCAGCUUAUCAUUUUGAUAGGGGAUUUGGAUCAGGGAUUAACAAUUGGUUGGUUGCAUUUGAGGGAGGAGGAUGGUGCAACAAUGUCACUACUUGCCUUGCUCGCAAGACCAAUCGUUUAGGUUCAUCUAAGCAAAUGGCCAAGCUAAUUGCCUUUUCAGGAAUUUUGAAUAACAGGGAAAUGUUUAAUCCAGAUUUCUACAACUGGAACAGAAUCAAGGUUAGGUAUUGUGAUGGUUCAUCAUUUACUGGUGAUGUGGAAGCAGUGAAUCCAGUGACUAAGUUGCACUUCAGAGGAGGUAGGAUUUUCAAUGCUGUCAUGGAGGAUUUACUAGCAAAAGGAAUGAAAAAUGCUCGAAAUGUAAGAGAGGCUAUUAUCUCGGGAUGUUCAGCUGGAGGAUUAACAUCAGUACUGCAUUGUGAUCGAUUUCGAGCUCUAUUACCUAGGGGAGCUAGAGUGAAAUGCCUCUCAGAUGCUGGUUACUUUAUCAAUGGAAAGGAUGUCUUGGGAGAACAACACAUUGAACAGUACUUCAGUCAAGUUGUUGCCACACAUGGCUCUGCUAGGAAUUUGCCUCAAUCGUGCACUUCAAGACUUAGCCCAAGGCUGUGCUUUUUCCCACAAUAUUUGGUGUCACGUAUCACUACACCAAUCUUCUUUGUAAACGCGGCUUACGACUCAUGGCAGAUUAAGAACAUUUUGGCACCGGGUGUUGCUGAUCCUGAAGGCCAUUGGCAUAGCUGCAAGCUUGAUAUAAACAACUGCUCACCUGAUCAACUUGAUCUAAUGCAAGGCUUCAGGACAGAAUUUUUAAGGGCUAUAACUGUGCUAGGCAACUCUUCAUCUAAAGGAAUGUUCAUAGACUCUUGCUAUGCCCACUGCCAAACUGAAAUGCAGGAGACAUGGUUGAGAAGUGACUCUCCAGAGCUGAAAAAGACAACAAUUGCAAAGGCUGUAGCAGAUUGGUUUUAUGAAAGAAGGCCUUUCCAUCAGAUAGAUUGCCCUUACCCUUGCAACCCCACUUGUCACAACCGUGUUUUCGAUCCACAAGACGACCAUCCAGGAAAAAAUGUGACCGCGAAAGGAACAUCAGAUGCAUCAGCUACAAAGCCCAAUUUUCCCAAACUAACAAACAAGGCACAGUGGAUUGAACUUGUGUGCAUUAGUCGCGGGAUCAGUGGGCUUCUACUAACGUUGGUUCUUCUGGUCAUCCUAUAAAAGCUGGUUUGCUUUUUUGAUUAAAUAUGAGUAUAUGACACAGCUGGACCAUCUCUCCUACUGUUUUCCAUAACAAGAUGAAAUAAAAGCCAAUCCCAUUGAAUUGAUCACUUUUUGACUUCAUACAGACUGCAAUAAACUUCAGACAGAGCUUCAUAAUGAGAUCCAAUCAGUGUAAGCUUGAACUUUACUGCAGUUACUUGGCCUAUAUUUGUAUUUACUGAUUUAUUUUUGGGGGAGGGGAUGUUCUGGUAAUUCUGCUGAGCUUCUUUUUGAAUGUCCUGUAUUACGAAAAACAUUUAAUUUUGUGAAGCAUGGAAUUUUUUCCUGCAAAAUUGCUCAACUUUGAAAAAUAUACUCUUAAGUUGCUGGAUUCUCCCACGUAUCUAGGUAAGUAGAUAGGAUUCAAGGAGAGUUGGGUGAUGGUUCUGCUACUAAUGGAGCAUGUAGGAUGAUUGUUUCUGGUUGUGCACUGCUGAGCGAUAAUAAACUGUACUCUAUAUGGCUAAUAUGAACUUUAUACAUUGGUUUAAGAUGUCAGUGGAGGAGAAUUGAAAGAGGUUACGGUGUUACACUAAUUGCUUAAGUAUAUCUAGCAAUCCAUGAAUUGAAAAGCACAAUUGCUGGAAGUUUCUAAUACAAAUUUUGAACUUCUCAACUGAUUAAUUUAGGAGACGUCUACUGUGCGUGUUAGAGCGAGGUUAUGACUAUGCUAAUCCCAAUUCCUGUGAUUUUGGGGCACACUGAUCUUGUAAUUCAACAGGUGUGAAGUUCCAUUAGCCUGGAAUCUUGUGUUAACUUACUUGCAAUCCUGGGAUAUUUUACAAUGCUACACGUUGAAUAUCUCUCUAUC